GAUGAACGCUGGCGGCGUGCCUAAUACAUGCAAGUCGAGCGAACAGAUAAGGAGCUUGCUCCUUUGACGUUAGCGGCGGACGGGUGAGUAACACGUGGGUAACCUACCUAUAAGACUGGAAUAACUCCGGGAAACCGGGGCUAAUGCCGGAUAACAUUUAGAACCGCAUGGUUCUAAAGUGAAAGAUGGUUUUGCUAUCACUUAUAGAUGGACCCGCGCCGUAUUAGCUAGUUGGUAAGGUAACGGCUUACCAAGGCAACGAUACGUAGCCGACCUGAGAGGGUGAUCGGCCACACUGGAACUGAGACACGGUCCAGACUCCUACGGGAGGCAGCAGUAGGGAAUCUUCCGCAAUGGGCGAAAGCCUGACGGAGCAACGCCGCGUGAGUGAUGACGGUCUUCGGAUCGUAAAACUCUGUUAUUAGGGAAGAACAAAUGUGUAAGUAACUGUGCACGUCUUGACGGUACCUAAUCAGAAAGCCACGGCUAACUACGUG
rnacentral:rRNA from 1 species